GACGAACGCUGGCGGCGUGCUUAACACAUGCAAGUCGAACGGAAAGGCUCCAGCUUGCUGGUGUACUCGAGUGGCGAACGGGUGAGUAACACGUGGGUAAUCUGCCCUGCACUCUGGGAUAAGCCUGGGAAACUGGGUCUAAUACUUGAUAUGACCUUUCUCCUUAUGGGGUUUGGUGGAAAGUUUUUCGGUGUAGGAUGAGCCCGCGGCCUAUCAGCUUGUUGGUGGGGUGAUGGCCUACCAAGGCGACGACGGGUAGCCGGCCUGAGAGGGUGAUCGGCCACAUUGGGUCUGAGAUACGGCCCGGACUAGUACGGGAGGCAGCAGUGGGGAAUAGUGCACAAUGGGAUGAAGCCUAAUGCAGCGAAGCCGCGUGAGGGAUGACGGCCUUCGGGUUGUAAACCUCUUUCAGCAGGGACGAAGCGUAAGUGACGGUACCUGCAGAAGAAGCCCCGGCUAACUAUGUG
rnacentral:rRNA from 1 species